rnacentral:lncRNA from 1 species
UUGAAGUCCACUUUGUCUAAAAAUCCCACCUUUGCACUAAAUAUAUCCUUAGUUGUCCCCUUUGAGCCUAAUCCUUUUUAUUGGCAACCACAUUAUGCCUUAUCCUUUUUGAAAAAGUAACCCUCUUUUGAACCCUUCCCUCCUUGAACUUGAGGUUGUGAAAAAAAUCGAGGCUAAAAACCUAAGUUGGUGGUGUUAUGGGAAAUUCAUUGAAGGGAUGGAUGCUUACAACAUGAGGGCUUGAUAGAAAAAAAAAAUGAAGAGAGAAAUUGAGGGUUGGAUGGAAAGUCUUAAAGAAAGAAAAAGCUUUGAAAAAAGAAAGAAAGAAAAUGAAUAAAUGAGACUUGAAUCCUUUAAAAUUUGAAAAUGGUUGUAUGUGGGGCAACUAGAGUAGAAAUAAGAAAAGAAUAAUGAAAAAUAGUGUGGAAUGUGCAUGGGUUUGAAAAGUGAGGGUUGGAUGGGAAGUCUCAAAGAAAGAAAAAGCUUUGAAAAAGAAAGAAAGAAAAUGAAGAACCUAAAUGUUAUCCUAACCUUUCCUAAGCCUAUAUUACAAGCUUAACAAAGUCCUUUGAGAUUUCUAACCAAAUGGAGUUGAGUCAAUAAUGAUUGAAAAUCUGGGCAAGCCUAUGGUGUGACAUUUUGUGUACAUGAGAUGAUUCUUUGUGAGUGUGAGUGUUGCAUCUUUGUUGUCCCAUGUCUUUUUUAUAUGUGUGCGGUUUUGGGACGCUUCUUUCAUGUGAGGGCAUGUAAACCGAAAAAGUGGUGAUUUUGAAAAUUCCUAAUUGAGUCAAGUGAGCAUGUGAAAGAGUUAAUGAGUUGAGUCAUCUCUUGAGUUUGAGUUGUUGUCACUUAAAUGAUUCUUGGUUUUUAAAACUGUAAUUAGAAUGUGAGGAUUUCUUAUGUGAAAAAAGUUUGCAUGUGGACUAUUUGUUAGUACCAACCGGAGCCAUUACCUUUGUGCUUAAUUGAGAAAGGGAAGCUGAUUUGUGGUGUGUCUUGAAAUAUGAGCCUCUUGUGUUCGAACAUUACUAAGAGUUGGGUAUUUUUAUUAACGACGACCGCUUACUCUGUUAACUUGUUUUGAGGGUGAUUUGAGCGUCAUCAAUUGUUUAAGAUUUUGGAAAAGUUUUAAACAUGUGUGUAUAUUACUUCCUAGUGAUGCAAAUCUCCAGCUUCUUUUCACUGUUGUGGAGAAUACACCAUCUGAAACAGUUUGAUCAAAUUGCACUGUUGGUCUUGGAGAUCUGGCAGUUCGUUUUUCUAAUCUGUUAGAGCCAUGGACAGAGCAUAUGUAUGCAUGAUUAAGAGAUCGUUCAUUCUCAUCUAAUACUUACUGAAUGACAUGAAGGUUUGGCUGGACUAUCAAACAUUUAUACUUAGCUUUCAUGUGUAAGAAUUUUUAUCAUCUUGAUUUGCGUGUAUCAUUAUUAGGUGGAAGUUUGUGUAAAUGAAAUGGCCAACUGUUUGGAAGAUGAAGAUGAAAGAAUUUCAAAUCUUGCCAAAACUUUCUUUCAUGAGUUGUCAAAGAUAAGGUAGUAUAUUUACUCAACUUUUCUUUCAUCAGUUCCCUAAUAAAGAAGUUCAUCUAUCUAAUCUCUUUCUAGUCUUUCUACUAUUGAGCUUCUUUCAUCUGUUAUUGCGUGUUUUGGUGUGCACGUCACUAUAAUACUUGUUUUUUUCCUUUACACUUAAUGUUUAGUGGGAACUUUUGCAUUGUUCCCGUCUUUUUGUUUAGUUCCAAUUUCUUUCAUUUGUUCUUGACCUUCAAUUAGGAGGAACAAAGGUAUUUUAGACUGGUUCCUCUUUUUUGGUUAGUUAUUAGGGUAUAUUUUCCUAAGAUUGUCGUAGAUCCAAGUGGAAACUUUUGAUUAUUGCAACUCUGUAAAACACAUGACCCUCUUUCUAAGAAAGUGUUCUUCUGCAGUUUUCUUGAACAAAGUAUGCGUUGAAACAGACACGUGGGAAAUUUGGUCUUUGUUCAAAGAUAGUACGUUGAGCAAUUGGUCUUGACCUGAUCAUCUGACGUUCCUCUGAUUCUACUUUUUUGAGUCUUUAGUUAUUUGUAUUAUAUUCCCUGUCUUGUUUCUGUUCUCUGUAGGAGGUGGUUGCGAGGGUGGUGGAUUAUUUCUUUGGAAUAAGAGAAUAUUUUGUACUGUUAGAAUGCUUCUUCCAGUGAUUUUUUCCUGUAUUUCUUCUUUCCAUUUUACUUGUUCUCAUCCAGAUCCUUUUCUCUCAUUUUAACUUUUUUUUAAUGUUAUAAUCACACAUUAAGUUUGAUGAUUUUGGAUGUCUUAUAAUUUUAACUUUUUCUAAUGUUAUAAUCACACAUUAGUUUGAUGAUUAAGAUGUCAAUGAAGUAAUAUUUCUCUGUUGGCAUUUGAGUGAUAUAUUAUCUGUAACUGAAGUUGUACUAUCUAAGGUGCAGUGUGAGCUGCAAUGUGAGGUAUGUACUGCACCGAAGCAAGGUGCAUGACAUUUAUUCAUAUGGGAACCCUGCCAAGUCUAAAUUCUCAACAGUUGCAUUAUUACUUAUUGUUAACAUUAAGUCAACCGUUGCUUACAGUGAUUGUUAAUCAUGUAAAAUCAAUUCAUGCUUUACUUCCAGGAGAAGAUGCUUUCCUCAAUGUGACAACUUAGAUUAUAUUUGAACUAAGAAAAAUAAUGGAGAUGUUCCAGGAGAAAUAGCUUGAUUGAGAAGCAGAAUAGAAAAAUGCAGAAACACCGAAGAAUUAGUGGAAAAGAUAAAUGAAUGCAAUCAAAGGGUAAUUCCAAAAAAGAGAAACAAAGUUGCAUAGUCUCCAUAGAACUAUAAAUGGAAUUUUAGUUUUUAAGAAAAUAUUGCUUUGUUAAUUUAUUUUGAUAAAGUGAAGUUACUAUUCGUGAAGGUCUUUGAACUUCUCUCAGGUAUUCAAACAAGUGAUUUUUUUGGAAAUUUGAACUAAGGCUCUAUGGUUGUCUGUAUCCCACCAUGGAGCUCUCCCUUGAAUCUUACUGUUUAAAUGUUGAUUAAUUUGCAGGCAAUGAGUGCAAGAUCGAUGCUGAGUUUUCUGACCGGUUCUUUAGCACUCUUUAAGCAUGUUCCUAAGGCUACCAAGUACUUCAACAUUAUAGUAAGUAUUGGUUAGUUUCAUCUUAUGCUCAAUUACAAUUUUCUAAGAUCAUUUUUUCUAUCAAACUACUUCCUAAUGACAUUUGCCUUCUCAAUCUUUUCCCUGUUGAUUAUAGUAAACGUGCAAAAAUAUUUUUGCUUUGGUAGUCCCUUGUAUUCUCUUUUGAUAUUUGGACUGUGAGGACACAAUCUCAUUUUCAGUUGGGGGUGCCUCCCUUGUACUCAUUUUGUUGAUUGUUUCUGCAUACUGCGAUUGUGCCCUUGUCGGGCGUACUUUUCCUCCUUGUUAUGGAUUGGUGUGCCCUUGUCGGGCUUUGAUAUUGUGGAUGUUUCUGUUGAUAUUGUGUUGGAUUGGUCUAUUUUAGUUUUUGAUUUGUAGUUUGUAGCUUCUUUGUUUUUUUUUUAUAAUAAGAUUUGGAUUAACGAUCCCCGAUGAUGGAUAGAGAGUGACGUCCUUCUUAAGGUUAAAUCAUCGAUUGCUUGUGAAUGUUUGAUUGGCGUUGAUUGUGGCGAAGUUUGAGUAGCCGUUCCCGAAUAGAUGCAUGAGGUUGCUUGUUGAUGGAUUGGUUGAUGACUUUAAGGGUAAAAUCAUCGUCAUUUUGGGAAGGUUUUGACUUGGUUGGUACUAAGAGCAUAGUCAUGCAUGUGAAUCAUGAGCAUACCUCUCCGUUUUUAUAAGGUUGAGCAUGUUAUGAAUGAUUUGUGACAACUCUUACAACUCUUUUUGUGACUUUUGAUUCGUUAGCGGUUAAAAUGUUCAGUGCUACUUGUAUUUUGAAAAGGAAGUAAGAUUUUGAACCAUCUUGAUUGAUUUGCAGGCCAUGUGUGGUGAGUUAUUGAAUAAUGCCUUGUGUUCGCUAUUGUCACCUAGAACUUGCCCGGUUGGUCUUGAAAUGUUGGUCUUGAUUGAGUUUGGUUGGAGAAAUGAUCUUAGGCUUUCUUUGAUGUUCUUGAAGUCCACUUUGUCUAAAAAUCCCACCUUUGCACUAAAUAUAUCCUUAGUUGUCCCCUUUGAGCCUAAUCCUUUUUAUUGGCAACCACAUUACAAGCCUUAUCCUUUUUGAAAAAAGUAACCCUCUUUUGAACCCUUCCCUCCUUGAACUUGAGGUUGUGAAAGUCGAGGCUAAAAGCCUAAGUUGGUGGUGUUAUGGGAAAUUCAUUGAAGUGAUCAAUGCUUACCAUAUCCGCUUGAUAGAAAAAAAAAGUAGAGAGAAAUUGAGGGUUGGAUGAGAAGUCUUAAAGAAAGAAAAUGCUUUGAAAAAGAAAGAAAGAAAAUGAAUAAAUGAGACUUGAAUCCUCCAAAAGUUGAAAAUGGUUGUAUGUGGGGCAACUAGAGUAGAAAUAAGAAAAGAAUAAUGAAAAAUAGUGUGGAAUGUGCAUGGGUUUGAAAAGUAGAGAAAGUUGGAAAUGAUGAGUUGUUGUGUAGUGUUCAAGGAGGGUGUAGUCACUUAUACCUAAAUGAUAUUCUAACCUUUCCUAAGCCUAUAUUACAAGCUUAACAAAGUCCUUUGAGAUUUCUAACCAAAUGGAGUUGAGUCAAUAAUGAUUGAAAAUAUGGGCAAGCCAAUGAUUGGUGUGACAUUUGUGUACAUGAGAUGAUUCUUUGUGAGUGUGAGUGUUGCAUCUUUGUUGUCCCAUGUCUUGUUUAUAUGUGUGUGCGGUUUUGGGACACUUCUUUCUUGUGAGGGCAUGUAAGCUGAAAAGUGGUGAUUUUGAAAAUUCCUAAUUGAGUCAAGAGCAUGUGAAAGUGUUAAUGAGUUGAGUCAUCUCUUGAGUUUGAGUUGUUGUCACUUAAAUGAUUCUUGGUUUUUAAAUAUGUAAUGAGAAUGAGAGGAUUUCUUAUGUGAAAAAAGUUUGCAUGUGGACUAUUUGUUAGUACCAACCGGAGCCAUUACCUUUGUGCUUAAUUGAGAAAGGGAAGUUGAUUUGUGGUGUGUCUUGAAUUAUGAGCCUCUUGUGUUCGAACAUUACUAAGUGUUGGGUAU